rnacentral:tRNA from 1 species
GGGGCUGUGGCUCAGUGGUAGAGCACUUGCCUCGCACGUGUGGGUCAUUAGGUUCCAUCCUCAGCACCA